rnacentral:tRNA from 1 species
GGCGGCGUAGCUCAGUUGGUUAGAGCAACGGAAUCAUAAUCCGCAGGUCCGGGGUUCAAGUCCCUGCGCCGCUACCA